rnacentral:rRNA from 1 species
CCUACGGGCGGCUGCAGUGGGGAAUAUUGCACAAUGGGGGAAACCCUGAUGCAGCGACGCCGCGUGAGUGAAGAAGUAAUUCGUUAUGUAAAGCUCUAUCAGCAGGGAAGAAAAUGACGGUACCUGAGUCAGACGCCCCGGCUAACUACGUGCCAGCAGCCGCGGUAAUACGUAGGGGGCAAGCGUUAUCCGGAUUUACUGGGUGUAAAGGGAGCGUAGACGGCAGUGCAAGUCUGGAGUGAAAGGCGGGGGCUCAACCCCCGGACUGCUCUGGAAACUGUACGGCUGGAGUGCAGGAGAGGUAAGUGGAAUUCCUAGUGUAGCGGUGAAAUGCGUAGAUAUUAGGAGGAACACCAGUGGCGAAGGCGGCUUACUGGACUGUAACUGACGUUGAGGCUCGAAAGCGUGGGGAGCAAACAGGAUUAGAUACCCCAGUAGUC